rnacentral:rRNA from 1 species
AACGAACGCUGGCGGCAGGCUUAACACAUGCAAGUCGAGCGCCCCGCAAGGGGAGCGGCAGACGGGUGAGUAACGCGUGGGAAUCUACCCAUCUCUACGGAAUAACGCAUGGAAACGUGUGCUAAUACCGUAUACGUCCUUCGGGAGAAAGAUUUAUCGGAGAUGGAUGAGCCCGCGUUGGCUUAGCUAGUUGGUGGGGUAAAGGCCUACCAAGGCGACGAUCCAUAGCUGGUCUGAGAGGAUGAUCAGCCACACUGGGACUGAGACACGGCCCAGACUCCUACGGGAAGCAGCAGUGGGGAAUGUUGGACAAUGGGCGCAAGCCUGAUCCAGCCAUGCCGCGUGAGUGAUGAAGGCCCUAGGGUUGUAAAGCUCUCUCACCGGUGAAGAUAAUGACGGUAACCGGAGAAGAAGCCCCGGCUAACUUCGUGCCAGCCGCCGCGGUAAUAC